rnacentral:rRNA from 1 species
ACUGCGAGUGAAGGGAAGAGCUCAGCGCUAAAAGACCGGCUCUUGGAGGGUCGGUUUGGUGUAGCGUUUGGAGCGUUUCGGAUCUGUUGCGGUGGUGCGGUCUAAAUUUUGCUGGAACGCAAUUGGCCAGAUGGGUUUACCCCCAUCUGGGCGUGCCCCGCCACCAAAUGAGAACGCUCUCCGAAUCCGGUUGUUUGGAAACCCCACCCAAAGUGGGUGGGAAACUUCACCUGAAGCUAAAUAUGGCUACCAAACCGAUAGCAAACAAGUACUGUGAAAGAAAGUUGAAAAGCACUUUUAAAAAAAAGUGCAAGAAAACGUGAAACCGUUUUAGUGGAAACGGAUGGAGCCCACGUAUCCCGUGGGCAUUUUCCCCUUGUCCGAAGUCAAUUUUUUGGUUUUGAGAUUUUGGAAAAAUUAUCCCGGGGAACAAUGUUGUGUUCGGUGAAAGGGGCACUUGAGCACACAGAGUGCCCAAACAGUUGGGCUCGGGGUUCGAAGUGUCGCCCAGAGGACCAGCCCUCAAAGGUCCGAAACCCGGGUAUCGGACGGGGGACGCAUGAGUCUGGCCGCGUUGCAAAAGGCUGGUCGACUUGAGGUGGCCGUGGAGGUUGCUACGUUGUUGGGGUGCGGCGCAUGCGUUUCGCCUCARGAUGUGUUUCUUUCYGCGGUCGUUUCUCGGCCGGUAUUCGGUGUUUAGUCGGUCACCCAUUUGACCCGUCUUGAAACACGGACCAAGGAGUUUAAGGUUUACGCAAGUCAUUGGGUGGAAAACUCAAAGGCGAAAUGAAAGUGGGACACUUGGUGUCUGUGAUGCGAUCCGUGUAUGAUUCGUUGUAUGCGGAGCAGCAUCGACCCAUGACCAGAACUUGUUCUGUUGUGGCGUCUGAGCGCAGGCUUUGAGACCCGAAAGAUGGUGAACUAUGCCUGAACAGGACGAAGUCAGAGGAAACUCUGAUGGAAGUCCGAAGCGGUUCUGACGUGCAAAUCGAUCGUCUGAUUUGGGUAUAGGGGCGCAAGACUAAUCGAACCAUC